rnacentral:lncRNA from 1 species
AUUCGUCACCGUUUUCACGAAGUGGCCUCAGUGGCCAAAAUCGUUGAAAUUUUUAAUUUCGAGUUUUGACCGUUUUUGAGCAAUGUAUAUAAAUGUCUACAACUUCAGUAAUUUUCAAAGUCUAAUCUUGCUUAAUUACGUCAUACGUGACGUCACGAAACGUAUCACAAGCGGUACAACUGGCAAACACCGUUUUCACGAAGUGGCCUCUUACGCGCAAAUGUAGUCUGCUAUUGAUAAUCGUACACGAACCGGCUCCGCGAAGCCUUUGUCACAGAUGCCGGUGCUUCUGGCGGAAUUGUUAGAGGAAUCUGACAGCCCUAGUAGAAUAGCCGGCUGAGAGGACCAUCACUAGCACUCCCAGGCCCAGUGGCUGAUGUCUAAGUAGGAGUUUGACGUGGAGAGCUUUUAGCAUGUUGUUGAGUUUACCAGUAGAAUAGACAGCUGGGAUACGCAAGAGAUGAGGGACCACUAGCACCCCCAGUGGUUGAUGUCCAUGUAGGAGUUUGUGCAGCUGAUGUGGAGAGCUUUUAGCAAAUUGACAAGGUAUGUGUGCAUCUUCACCCUCUGCCCUUGAACUGAUUGCUUUUCAAAUACCACGGUUUGGAGGUCAGACCAAACGACUGACAGACCGACCGACUGAAUAGCUAAGUCCCCUCAGUCAUCAAAGGAUGGACAAAAAUACAGAAGUUAUUGUUAGGUGGGAUCGUGAUGGAGAGAUCAAUUGUGGCAAGAAACGAGAUCUUCGAUAUAACGGAAGGCUUAGGGUGGGUUCAAGAGUCACUAUGAGCUAGAUGGAUGUGGACUGGACGGGGACUGCAACGCUGACAGGAGACUCUGACUCCGAAUGUGCCUCCAUUUAGAGGUUUUGUGGUCUAGUGGAUAAGUCGUUGGACUGUGGAUCACAGGAUCCAUGGUUCAAGUCCCGCCACAGCAGUAAUGUCUUUUGGCAAGAUAUUAAUCUAAAUU